ensembl:lncRNA
CUAUUGUUCCUGCGGCCGGGCGGGAGCGCUCCGGGGGUCGCCCCUCUCCUCCGGCCGACGCCAAGCGCUCCCCACCCGCCCCGCCGCCCGUAAUCAGCGUAUUUGCCGCCCUUUGUGAACGUUUUCGAAGCGUCUCCUUCGAACGUUUUGGAACGCCGCCGUGGAAGAAGGGCAGGUGGUCUGUGGCAGGUGGUCUGUCAUGUAUCUGUUUUCCAAGAGAAGAAACUGAGCCGCGGAGAGUAAAGGUGACUUGUCCAAGGUCACAUACCAAGAAAGGGGCAUGAGCAGGAUUGGAACCCAAGUUCUGACUCCAGAACUUGGAGAACACAGAGAUGUUGGGUGAAUCGCUGAAUCUCUAGGACUUCCUCCCCACCCGCGAUCCCAGAUGAAUCAAAGGCCUCAUCAAGUACCAAGUACCCAAGGCUACAAAGUUAGAAAGUUGGAGUCACCCAGUUCAUUCUAACCCCAAAGCCCUACCAUGUGUAUCACAAGCAUGAGAAGAUGCGAGAGCAUCAUUGUCUGAUAGAAGAUUGAGCCAAGAUUGGCACCAUCAAGACUAUACCCAGACUACUCACAAGCACUGAUAUAGAAUCAGCCUAGGUACCCAUCAACAAAUAAAUGGCUAUGGAACAUCACACACACACACACACACACACAUUCAGCCAUUAAGAAUGGAAUCCUGUCAUUUGCAGCAAAAUCUUAAGGACAUUAAAUGAGAAAAAAAAGACACAAAAAGCCAAGUACCACAUGUUCUCUCACACAUGUGAAUGCUAAAAAGAGUUAACCUGAAAGUAGAAUAGUGAUUACUAGGGCUUGAGAAGGGAGCAGGGGCCAGAGUGGUGGAAAAAAAGAUAGUUAAAUGUGAUAAAUAUACGCUCUAUGCAAGAAUGGAAAUAUCACAUUGGCUCUCAUUAAUAUGUACAAUUAGUGUGAAUUAAUUUUUUUUUUAAAAAAGGCUACAGCCAGGCUGGAAGUGUAGCUCAGUGAUACAGUGUAUGUAUAGCAUGUGUGAGGCACUGGUUCAAUCCCCAGAACAAUAACAACAAUAAUAACAAGAAAAAACAAAACGCAGCCACCAAAGAGUAUGUAUGAGUAUCCUGAGCACUCUGAAAGAGUGUUAGAGUUUGUUGAGAUUUCUUCUCAUUGUGAUUCAGGGAUUCUUGUGAUUACACUGGCAAGGACUCCAGUUGAAGGCAUGGUUAUUCUUACCCACACCUCCUUAAUGAUCCUCAAACUAUGCAGAUGGUAAGCAGAAGCCAAGGAGGCAUUUACAGGCACCUGAAUAGAAAGUGCUCUAGGAAUCCAGGGAACUAACCUAACUCUGGGUGGAGAAUAGCCUCCGACUAUAAUUCUGUUGGUUUGAAAGCUUUCUCACCCAAACAGUCCCUGUGAGUGGGUAGAGAGAGUGAGGAAGCAUCUCUGGGGUUUUCCUGCCAGUUGUCUUGUCACUCAAUUGUUCAGCACUGCUCAGAAUACAGAAUUAAGGUUUUUCUUGAUCUUUCAGCAAACGGAAAUUCUCAGCUGCAACUCAAAAAUUUCUCCAAAGGCUUUAACUCAUAAAAGAUUGCACCAGAGAAAUAGCUUCUCUGACAGACAAUCACACAUAAAUGGAAAUAGGGAGGUAUAACAUGAUAAUUAAGGGUGUAGGCUCUGGAACCAAGCCAUCUGGGUUUGCAUCUUAGCUCUGC